rnacentral:lncRNA from 13 species
CUGUCCCUUCAUGCUGCCAUUAUAUCUUUGGCCACUUUUCUCCUUCCCAAAGAUCAAUGUCUUUAUAUAAUCUCUCACCAUUAGUCAUCUGAACAAUUGACGAGACCUCCUGUAAGGUUUCCUCACCUUAGUAUAAACUCCAUCUAAUUCAUAUUCUAUAAUGCCUGUGGAGUUUUUUUUUAAUCUCUAAAAUAUAAAUUUGAUCAUACUGGGGCUUUGAUUUCAAUAGUUUUAUACAUUUUCCACUAUGGUAGGCUGAUAAUGACCCCCAAAGAUAUAUCCACAUCCUCAUCAUGAAAACCUGUGCAUGGGACCCUUGGGAAAAAGGGUCUUUGCAGAUGAAAUUAAGUUAAGCAUUUUGAGAUGAGAAGAUUAUCCUGAAUUAUCAGGAUGGGUCCUAAAUACCAUCACAACUAUCUUUAUAACAAAAAAACAGAGACAGAUUCCCAGUGAAGACAAUGUGAAGACAGAGGCGAGAGAGAUCACUCACAGCUGGGGAUUGCCCACAGUCAUCAGAAGCUGAAAGAAGUAAGGACAGCUGGGAUUGCCCACAGUCUUCAGAAGCUGAGAGAGGAGAACACCACCUGCAAAGUUAUCAAAUCUGAAGGAAAGGAAACAUCGAAUGAAAAGGAAAAUGAAUUUGAAGAAAAAGAAUGUGCCGGAUGUGCGGCAAUGUAAGUAAAUAUGGAUUCGUCAGUUUCUUAGAGAGUAUUUUAUAUCC